CAGUGGUGACAAUGAGACCUGUAAC
rnacentral:piRNA from 2 species